UUGACACUUUUUAAAGUACUAGCCGUUUACUGAAGCUGUUUGUUUCAAGCAGGAGCCUAAAGAAUUGUCUUUCUAUGGUCUGUUGGCCAUUUCAGAACUUUGGAAAUGUAAUGGUCAAUUCAUUAGAAAGAAACAGUA